AACGAACGCUGGCGGCAUGCCUAACACAUGCAAGUCGAACGAGACCUUCGGGUCUAGUGGCGCACGGGUGCGUAGCGCGUGGGAACCUGCCCUUAGGUUCGGAAUACCUCCCCGAAAGGGGUGCUAAUACCGGAUAAUGUCUUCGGACCAAAGAUUUAUCGCCUUUGGAUGGGCCCGCGUUGGAUUCGCUAGUUGGUAGGGUAAAGGCCUACCAAGGCUACGAUCGAUAGCUGGUCUGAGAGGAUGAUCAGCCACACUGGGACUGAGACACGGCACAGACUCGUACGGGAGGCAGCAGUGGGGAGUAUUGCACAGUGGGCGGAAGCCUGAGGCAGCAACGCCGCGUGCGGGAUGACGUCCUACGGGUUGUAAACCGCUUUCGCCUGAGACGAAGCGUGAGUGACGGUAAUGGGUAAAGAAGCACCGGCUAACUACGUG
rnacentral:rRNA from 1 species